GGAGAGGUGGCCGAGUGGUCUAAGGCGCUGCAACCCCCACUGCAGUCUACUUCAGUGUAGGCGUGGGUUCAAAUCCCUCCCUCUCCC
rnacentral:tRNA from 1 species